rnacentral:rRNA from 1 species
AGUGAACGCUGGCGGUAGGCCUAACACAUGCAAGUCGAACGGCAGCACAGUAAGAGCUUGCUCUUACGGGUGGCGAGUGGCGGACGGGUGAGGAAUACAUCGGAAUCUACUUUUUCGUGGGGGAUAACGUAGGGAAACUUACGCUAAUACCGCAUACGACCUACGGGUGAAAGCAGGGGAUCUUCGGACCUUGCGCGAUUGAAUGAGCCGAUGUCGGAUUAGCUAGUUGGCGGGGUAAAGGUCCACCAAGGCGACGAUCCGUGGCUGGUCUGAGAGGAUGAUCAGCCACACUGGAACUGAGACACGGUCCAGACUCCUACGGGAGGCAGCAGUGGGGAAUAUUGGACAAUGGGCGCAAGCCUGAUCCAGCCAUACCGCGUGGGUGAAGAAGGCCUUCGGGUUGUAAAGCCCUUUUGUUGGGAAAGAAAAGCAGCAGGUUAAUACCCCGCUGUUCUGACGGUACCCAAAGAAUAAGCACCGGCUAACUUCGUG